AUUGAACGCUGGCGGCAGGCCUAACACAUGCAAGUCGAACGAGUGGCGGACGGGUGAGUAAUGUCUGGGAAACUGCCCGAUGGAGGGGGAUAACUACUGGAAACGGUAGCUAAUACCGCAUACUAUCGGAUGUGCACAGAUGGGAUGAGCUAGUUGGAGGGGGAACGGGUCACCUAGGCGACGACCCCUAGCUGGUCUGAGAGGAUGACCAGCCACACUGGAACGGAGACACGGUCCAGACUCCGACGUGAGGUAGCAGUGGGGAAUAUUGCACAAUGGGCGCAAGCCUGAUGCAGCCAUGCCGCGUGUAUGAAGAAGGCCUUAGGGUUGUAAAGUACUUUCAGCGGGGAGGCGUUACUCGCAGAAGAAGCACCGGCUAACUCCGUGCCAGCAGCCGCGGUAAUUC
rnacentral:rRNA from 1 species